rfam:Schistosoma margrebowiei strain Zambia genome assembly, scaffold: SMRZ_scaffold0001434
AUCCAGUUGACGAUUCUUAAAUAGGAUGAAACGCGUGUCAAACUGGAU